UAGGCGUAAAUGAUGCGAGUUAAGUGUGGGGGCAUCUACGAGAUGGCCCUGUGCUGUAGGGUAGCCGUUAAACUCGCUGCCUGGGAGUACGGUCGCAAGGCUGAAACUUAAAGGAAUUGGCGGGGGAGCACCGCAACGGGAGGAGCGUGCGGUUCAAUUGGAUUCAACGCCGGACAACUCACCAGGAGCGACGGUUACAUGAAGGCCAGGCUGAUGACCUUGCCUGAUUUUCCGAGAGGAGGUGCAUGGCGUAGUCGUGU
rnacentral:rRNA from 1 species